rnacentral:rRNA from 1 species
CAACGGGUGAGUAAUACAUCGGAACGUGUCCGCUCGUGGGGGACAACCAGCCGAAAGGUUGGCUAAUACCGCAUGAGUUCUACGGAAGAAAGAGGGGGACCCGCAAGGGCCUCUCGCGAGCGGAGCGGCCGAUGACUGAUUAGCCGGUUGGUGAGGUAACGGCUCACCAAAGCAACGAUCAGUAGCUGGUCUGAGAGGACGACCAGCCACACUGGGACUGAGACACGGCCCAGACUCCUACGGGAGGCAGCAG